AGUGAACGCUGGCGGUAGGCCUAACACAUGCAAGUCGAACGGCAGCACAGUAAGAGCUUGCUCUUACGGGUGGCGAGUGGCGGACGGGUGAGGAAUACAUCGGAAUCUACUUUUUCGUGGGGGAUAACGUAGGGAAACUUACGCUAAUACCGCAUACGACCUACGGGUGAAAGCAGGGGAUCUUCGGACCUUGCGCGAUUGAAUGAGCCGAUGUCGGAUUAGCUAGUUGGCGGGGUAAAGGCCCACCAAGGCGACGAUCCGUAGCUGGUCUGAGAGGAUGAUCAGCCACACUGGAACUGAGACACGAUCCAGACUCCUACGGGAGGCAGCAGUGGGGAAUAUUGGACAAUGGGCGCAAGCCUGAUCCAGCCAUACCGCGUGGGUGAAGAAGGCCUUCGGGUUGUAAAGCCCUUUUGUUGGGAAAGAAAAGCAGCAGGUUAAUACCCCGCUGUUCUGACGGUACCCAAAGAAUAAGCACCGGCUAACUUCAUG
rnacentral:rRNA from 1 species